rnacentral:rRNA from 1 species
UACGGGGGGGGCAAGCGUUGUUCGGAAUUACUGGGCGUAAAGGGCGCGUAGGCGGCCAUCUAAGUCAGACGUGAAAUCCCUCGGCUCAACCGAGGAACUGCGUCUGAUACUGGAAGGCUUGAAUCCGGGAGAGGGAUGUGGAGUUCCAGGUGUAGCGGUGAAAUGCGUAGAUAUCUGGAGGAACACCGGUGGCGAAGGCGGCAUCCUGGACCGGUAUUGACGCUGAGGCGCGAAAGCUGGGGGAGCAAACCGG